GGCGGCGUAGCUCAGUCGGUUAGAGCGUGAGAUUCAUAACCUCAAGGUCGACGGUUCGAGUCCGUCCGCCGCUA
rnacentral:tRNA from 1 species